ACAACGAAGCCGACAGCAGCAAUAAAAUCCAUACAAUAACAAUGUUGAGCAAUUAUUUGAGCAAUCAGUUUAGAUAGAAAGAAUGUUUUAUGAUUAAAUUGAAUUGCAGCCUUGUGCAGAUUUUAAGCGAGGGAUAGAACAAAUUAUUUAGAUUUUCAACGGUAUUUGGAAAAAACAAAUUCUUACUUUUCAAGGAAAUUGUCUAUAUCAAUAACUUAGACUUGUAAAGGUUGACUGGAUGUAUGCAUUUUUCACAAAAAAACAAACUCCACAGUCAUAAAACUGAGCUAAAAGCAGCCAUUUCUCAGUUGUGACAAAGCUUUUAAUAUAGAGAUGCACCAAUCAAACGGCCAGAGAUCAGAAUCAGACAAUGUUCCCAUCAUCGGCUCUUAGGUGAAUCGUUUUUUAUUCAUUAAAUACAUUAAACCUAAGAACUCCCAUCAUUUCUGGCCAACAAAUGCACCAACCAACAGCAUGGUCAUGCAACUUUCUGCUAUAAAAAAAUAUUCUAAUAAUCUGAUCUAUGUCUAAAUGGAAGAAAUCAUUUAAUUUCUUCAUUUUCUGUUGGAUUCAAAACCUCCUCCUCUACCAAUGAACCUGCAGCACAUUUUAACCUCUGAAGACCUGAGGAUUUUGGUCCAAACAGGCUUUCAGACACCUUAAGGGCUAAAAAAACAACAACUUCUCUUCAAAUCUAAAUGUUUGAUCAGUUGUAAACCUCAUUUACAACUUCCAGAUCUGUCAGGAGAAAGAAAAAUAUACCAUGUUUGAAGAGAAACUGAUCCUUUUUAGGCAAUGAAAAACCUAUAUUUAGAAUAACAUUUCCAGGUUUUAACAGAUUAACGUGUUGAGCUUGUAAAAAAAAAGGUUCUGAAUUGGAAACAGCAGGUCUAACCUCAAAGAAUAAAAGAACAUGAUCAUAUAAUAUGUUGAUGUUUACCAAUAAACCAAGAUUUCUAUUCCCAUUGCCACAAGUGAGUAACUUAAUUAACAUUAACUGCAAACUAACAACUUCUUAACUACAGAAGAGACCAGAAAAAAGAGCCUCACUGACUUCCAUAUGGCGUCCACUCCUCUCUAUUUCAAAUCAUUGAGUCUCUACAGGCUUUAAAUAUUGAAAAUAAUCAGAUUAAAGUCCAUGAAAAUAUCACAAAGUUCUGUUUAGCAUUUAAGAUGCGGCUCAAAGAAGCCGCACAACCCUUCCUGAGUGUCAUUGUGCAUUGUGGGAAAAUGACCAAAAA